CCUACGGGAGGCAGCAGUGGGGAAUAUUGCACAAUGGAGGAAACCCUGAUGCAGCGACGCCGCGUGCGUGAAGAAGUCUUUCUGUAUGUAAAGCUCUAUCAGCAGGGGAGAAAAUGACGGUACGUGACUAAGGAUCCCCGUCUAAUUCCGUUCCGGCAGCCGCGGUAAUACGGAGGCGGCGAGCGUUAUCCGGAUGUACUGGGUGUAAUGGGAGCGUAGACGGUGGAAUAAGUCAGAGGUGAAAUCGCGGGGCUCAACCCUGGAAGUGCUUUUGAUACUGUUGGGCUGGAGAGUAGGAGAGGUAAGCGGAAUGUAUAGUGUAGCGGUGAAAUGCGUAGAGAUUAGAAGGAACACCAGUGGCGAAGGCAGCUUACUAGACUGUAACUGACGUUGAGGCUCGAAAGCGUGGGGAGCAAACAGGAUUAGAUACCCCUGUAGUC
rnacentral:rRNA from 1 species